GGUUAAAGAUGGGCAUGCGUGACAUUAGCUGGAUGGUAGGGUAACGGCCUACCAUGGCUACGAUGUUUAGGGGUUCUGAGAGGAAGGUCCCCCACACUGGUACUGAGACACGGACCAGACUCCUACGGGAGGCAGCAGUGAGGAAUAUUGGUCAAUGGGCGAGAGCCUGAACCAGCCAAGUCGCGUGAAGGAAGAAGGUUCUAUGGAUUGUAAACUUCUUUUGCAGGGGAAUAAAGUGAGCUACGUGUAGCUGCUUGACGGUACCUUGCGAAUAAGGAUCGGCUAACUCCGUGCCAGCAGCCGCGGUAAUACGGAGGAUCCGAGCGUUAUCCGGAUUUAUUGGGUUUAAAGGGUGCGUAGGCGGGAAAUUAAGUCAGUGGUGAAAGUUUGCAGCUCAACUGUAAAAUUGCCAUUGAAACUGAUUUUCUUGAGUGUAAAUAAGGUAGGCGGAAUGUGUUGUGUAGCGGUGAAAUGCAUAGAUAUAACACAGAACACCAAUUGCGAAGGCAGCUUACCGGGCUACAACUGACGCUGAGGCACGAAAGCGUGGGGAUCAAACAGGAUUAGAUACCCUGGUAGUCCACGCAGUAAACGAUGAAUACUAACUGUAUGCGAUAUACUGUAUGCGGUACAGCGAAAGCGUUAAGUAUUCCACCUGGGGAGUACGUUCGCAAGAAUGAAACUCAAAGGAAUUGACGGGGGCCCGCACAAGCGGAGGAACAUGUGGUUUAAUUCGAUGAUACGCGAGGAACCUUACCCGGGCUUAAAUGUAGGCUGCAUUCGGCUGAAAGGGAUUUUUCUUCGGACAAUCUACAAGGUGCUGCAUGGUUGUCGUCAGCUCGUGCCGUGAGGUGUCGGGUUAAGUCCCAUAACGAGCGCAACCCUUAUCGUUAGUUGCCAGCGGGUCAAGCCGGGGACUCUAACGAGACUGCCGGUGUAAACCGUGAGGAAGGUGGGGAUGACGUCAAAUCAGCACGGCCCUUAUAUCCAGGGCUACACACGUGUUACAAUGGUCGGUACAAAGAGCAGCCACUUGGUGACAAGGCGCUAAUCUCAAAAGCCGAUCUCAGUUCGGAUUGGAGUCUGCAACUCGACUCCAUGAAGUUGGAAUCGCUAGUAAUCGCGCAUCAGCCAUGGCGCGGUGAAUACGUUCCCGGGCCUUGUACACACCGCCCGUCAAGCCAUGGAAGCCGGGGGUACCUGAAGUCCGUAACCGCAAGGAGCGGCCUAAGGUAAAACUGGUAACUGGGGCUAAGUCGUAACAAGGUAACC
rnacentral:rRNA from 1 species